CGUGUCUUCGACUGUUAAAGUGAUCUUUGCCAAAAAGUAUGACUGUGAAGGCGAUGUGUGCAUGGCUGGGUGUGUGUGUCAGUCGCUGGCUGGAUGGCAUGUGUACAGUGCAGACGUCUAGUGCCAACGACAAACACGUGCGCGCCCGGCCUUGUCCUUUGGCCUGACCUACAUCUAGGCCUUCCCUGUGCUGUCCACACAUGGCAAGUGAACGGGGGAUCUUGUGCUUGAGGAUAAACCUGUGAUAAGUAGCAUAAUGUACAGCUGUACACCAGCGGCAAAUACGGGCGGUUACUGCAUCCAUUGUGGCUUUCAAGGUGUCACCAUGUCACCGUGUCUUUAGUGACACUGGCAGUGACACCAAGCAAGUGACAAGGAGUGGCGGCCGUGUCACCUUCGUAGCCCGCUCUUCGACAGCUCGGAUGCCGUGACGUGUGUGUGUGUGACACUGCAGCAGCAUGACCAGAAGUGGGCUGGUAUAUCAGGCACCCGAAUGACAAAAGAAAAAGAAUCGGGUGCUGCACCAACACGAGUUGUGUCAGUCCAGCCGAGAGGUCAGUGACAUUGCCAGGUGACAUCCUUAACACCUGUGUGGGGGCAGCAAGUGGAGGGACACCACCACACGUGAAAUGUGCCGUGCUUUCUCAAGGUCGGGUGGGAUGGGAUGUAAACACCUGUGUCAUUUGCAGUAACCGGCACCGACAGAAGCACCGGAGUCUGCAAAGGGAAGAAAAGGCAACAAACUCUGUGCAACAGAUAUCGGACGUGUUGGCAGAGGGCACCAUGCUGUAUCUUCCACACGACAUCCACCACAAGACGACAUUAACGACAAGUCGUGGAGGCCAUAGGUGUGACAGAUAAAUUAUUGCCAAAGUCCUUCGCGGAACGCGGCGAGGUUUUGUUGGGCUCAACAGUAUUACCUGGUACCUGGCUUUUCUUUGGAUUUACGACAACAACUUCAGUAUCAACCUUCGCUUUUGUUUGAAAUAACAGUUCAGACUACAACAUUAAUCUUGGCUUUUGUUGCGCUACAACUACUCCACAACUACGGGUGGCUGCUGCACUUCCAUCAUGAAUACUCAUGAACAGCUGCAGCUACAGGAGUUGUAAGUGAAUGUAAAGACCGCACUGCAGCAACCAGAUCACAGUGAAGUGUGAUAACAAGUCCGCCGUGACUCUACAGGUGCAGCAGUGAAGUGUGAAAACAAGUCAGCCGUGACUCUACCCGUGCAGCAGUGAAGUGUGAAAACAAGUCAGCCGUGACUCUACCCUUGCACCAUGAGUGCGGUGCAGCACGGGGUGGACUCGGGUGGUAGCAGUGGUACAGAGCAGGACGCUGCGGCCUUCAGACAGAAGAUUCGCGAUGGCGCAGACGAGCGAGAAGAUAUACAGAAAAAAACCUUCACGAAAUGGAUUAACUCGCAGCUGGCAAAGGCAGGCCGGCAGACCAUUACAGAGCUGGGUGAGGACCUGCGGGACGGGGUGGCGCUGCUGUCGCUGCUGGAGGUUCUCACGGGGCGAUCUCUGACGCGCGAGAAAGGAAGACUACGACUUCACCACAUCAACAACGUCAACCGCGCCCUGAUGGAGCUGGAGACCUGCUGUAAUAUGAAACUGAUCAACAUCAGUAGCAACGACAUUGUAGACGGCAACACCAAGCUGACACUUGGCCUAGUCUGGAGCAUCAUCCUCCACUGGCAGGUGAAAGAUGUCAUGCGCAGUGUGAUGGAAGACCUGCCCCAGACUAACUUGGAGCGAACACUUCUGUCGUGGUGCCAGCUGAGCACAGCAGGGUACCGAGGUGUCAACAUCACCAACUUCACAAGCAGCUGGCGAGACGGUUUGGCUUUUAAUGCUCUCCUUCAUCACUUCCGACCAGACCUGUUUCAGUAUGAAAGUCUGCUUGGCAACGAUAGUGAGACCAACCUGAACCACGCCUUUAACCUGGCUCACCAACAUCUGGGCAUCGCCCCACUGCUGGAUGCAGAAGAUGUCAACGUUGAGAGUCCGGACAGGAAGUCGGUGAUGACCUACCUGAUGUGUCUCUUCCAACAACUGCCCCGGGCGCAGCUGGCUUUCACCGUUUGCCAGCCAAACACCAGUGCUCGGCCCUUGUUAUCGUCCACCGCCCCAUCAUCGACACCGACCUCGGUCAUCUCGUCACCUUCAGACCUGGCCCCACCGUGGGAUCCUGCAACAAAGGCUGAGUCUGUGGUGUCAGUGAAUGUCUCUGAGAUUGCUCACAGCAUGGCAGGUGCAGGGUCAGCAGAACUCUUGUCUUACCAGGAUGCCCUUGAGGCUGUUCUUACCUGGCUUCUUGCAGCAGAAGAAGUGGUAGAGAAACAGCCAUCCAUAGCUGAUAAUGUGUCAGCUGUCAAGGAUCAGUUUAAUCAGCAUGAAGAGUUUAUGCUGGAGCUCACACAGCACCAAGAUGCCAUUGGAGCUGUUCUACGUGACGGGAAUGAACUCAUUAUUGAAGGGCGGGUAACUCCAGAGGAGGAGCAUGAGAUCCGGGUCCAAAUGGGUCUCCUGAACAACAGGUGGGAAGACUUACGAGUGAAAGCUCUGGAUCGCCAGGCACGGUUGCAGCAGACUUUGAUGGAGUUGCAGCAGCAGCAGUUAGAGGAGCUGGAUAAGUGGCUUGCAGACAUGGAAUCUCGCAUUGAGCAUCAGGAGGCUGUUGGCACUGAUCUAGAAGCCAUUAAGACACAAGUAGAAGAACAUAAGAUGAUCCAGCAGUCACUAGAAGAACAACAGAAGCGAGUGGAUAGUCUUCAGAACAUGGUUGUGGUAGUAGACGAUUCCAGUGCUGAUAGUAGAGCUGCAUGUCUAGCAAUGGAGAAGCAACUGGAAAAGCUAGGUUCUCGAUGGGCAGCUGUUUGCCGGUGGACUGAAGAACAAUGGGUGGUGCUACAGGAGGUUUUGUUACGCUGGCAACAAUUUUCUGAUGAGCAGAAUAAGUUUCAGGACUGGCUUACUGCCAAAGAAUUGGUUCUAGAGCAGAUGGGCCAUGCUGACCUGAUGGACACAGAUCAGGUCAUCAUGCAGGUGAAGCAUCUUAAGGCUAUAGAAAAUGACAUGGGGGAACAAGUAAGGAGGUUUGAUGCCCUCAAUGAAUGUGGCCAGCAGAUUGUACGCUACGUGGAAAGCCCAGUUGCUGUGGCCAGUAUAGCAACACUCCUUGAAAAUCUUCAAGAACGCUGGGAGCAGCUUGUGCAGCAAAUGGAAUACCAAAGCAACAAGAUUGCCAGUUCUGGUGUGGAACUUGGCCGAAUCUCUGAGCUUUAUGAGGGAGAUACUGGAGAGGAGAGCACAGAGAGACAGUCAUCUUCACUACUUUCUGUAGCCAAGAAACGCAAAACAGAGUCAGCACAGCUCAUGGAGUUCAAGAUGCAACUGACACAAUUGAAAGAAUGGUUUUCAUCCACUGAGGCCACACUGCAACUUCUGGCAGUCAACAGUCCCAUGGAGCCCUUCACAGUGGAAGAGCAGCGUGUUCUCAUUCAGGAUGCAGAAAAUUCUAUCCGCUCUCAUCAAAUAGAUGUGCAAAGAGUGAUUACCCUUGGGAAGAGAGUUAUUACAGAGCUAAAAAUAGCGGGAGAGCCCCAGGAACCUACGGCAGCAGCCAUCAGACAACUGGAAGAACGCUGGGAUCGCCUCAGCAGGUCUCUCACAGAGACAAGAAUGAUUGUGGAUCGCAACUUUGAGACCAAGAAGUUCUCCACAGAACUGUUAGCUUUGCUAGAACUGAUAGCUGGCUAUGAGAAGUGGGUGGGCAACACUGAGAAGAUAGCAGAGGAGGCACAAGAGAUUACCAAGCAGCUUGAUCAGUGCAGGAUCAAACUGCGUGCUAUGCAAGCUCAUCAAGAUCGAGUUGAACGCCUAAAAAUUCAUGGGGAACAAAUCAUGAGACAAUUCCGAUCCACUGAGUCUAUUAAAGAAGAUUUACACCAGCUGACACAGCGGUGGCAAAAGGCGUUUGAGAAAAUAGGGGAAAGACAGGCUUUACUAAUAGAAGCCCUGGAAAAGGCUCCACCUAAAUCAUAUCUGGAAGCUGUUGCUAUUUUGCGAAAGUGGCUGAGUGACAUGGAAUCUGCAGUAGGAUCUGAAAAGCUGCAUGUAGCUUCUGUGUCCAGCAUGGAAAAUCAGUUGAAAAUGUACAAGGAACUUCAGCGAGACAUUGAAGACCACACAGCCAGUCAAGAAUACAUCAACAAAGCCGGUCGUGAGCUCAUUGCAAGGUCGCUGCCAGACAAGGCUGGCUGCCUGGAGCAAGAUUUGUCCUCUGUUAAUUCCCGUUGGCAGACAGUUACCACCAUGAUUGAGCAGCGUCAGGCACGUUUGGACAAGGCCAUCAAACAGAUGAAAGAAUACCAGACACAGCAAGAAGGGUUGACCAAGUGGAUGGAUGAGAUGGAUGUGUUUCUGCAUGCUGAGGACCCUGCUGUAGGUGAUAUUCCUGCACUGCAGGCCCAACUUCAAGAAAGCAAGGGUGUGCAAGAAGACAUUAAGACCCUACAACUGAAUGUGCGCAGCAUCAACUCCAUUGCUGAGUCUUUCAUGGAUGAAGCUGAGCCACAGUUCAGAGAAAAACUCAAGGUAGAGGUGGCAGCUUUGAACGCAAGGUGGGAGGAGGUGGUAGCAUUAGCCACAGAGCAGAACGAGAGACUGACAGAGCAGCUGACACACAGUAAGGAUAUCUAUGACCGUAUUGAAGGGACAUCUUUGUGGCUGGCUGGUCUGAAGCAAGAUCUAGCCAACAAGGACUACGCCAUUCUCAGCCCCAGCGACUUGCAGGUCAAGAUAAAAAAGUUUAAGGCCUUGAAGAAGGAAGUGAAUGAGCAGCAGACUGAAGUCAACAAAAUUAAUGAGAGGGCCAAUGAGAUGCUGAACAGGGCACCCUCAGGCUCCUUGCAGGAACUGGCACGUUCACUCAUGAAGAUGAAUGCUUUGUGGGGUGAUGUAUUUCAACGAGUGGAACGAUACGCCAUGCUAUAUGAAAAUUCUGAUCUGCAAUGGAGGGAGUUCAGAGAACUUGUGGAGACUGAAAGGCGUUUUUUGCAUACCUUGGAACGUACAGUGCAACGUUCUUCUGUCACUAGUUGUGAUGCCGAAGACAUUUCAGAGGAGCUGAAUGAAGUGGAAACAUUGCUGCAGGAGCAUAGCUCAGAAAACAAGCAUCGUAUACAAGAACUAGCAGGGGAGCUCACCUCUAACUCUGUCAUGACAGAUCUGGUUCAUAAAGAAUUAGAGGACUUUUUGCGCAAGUUUGAUAUUCUGGAGUCAGAGGCUCGAGCCAAGAUCACACGGCUGGAGCAGUCUAUUCAAUGUGCUCAGAGAAUUGAACGCCAGGUGCUGGAAAUGUCACAGUGGAUGGCUGAAGUCAGUCAGCAUCUGCAGUCACGCUUGGAUGCAGACCUCCUAGCAAGUGAUGUGCCACAAGAGUAUGAGUCAUUAAAAGAAGAAUUCAGCCAGCAGGAGGCACUGCUGCGGGAACUGGAGGAUCACGUGACUCAGUACCAGCAACAGGGUAAGGUGGAUGCUUCCACCCGUUUGGAGCAACAGAUACAGCUCUUAAAGAAACAUUUUGCUGAAGUCAUGAUGAAGUUUCGCAAGUUCCAACGGCCAGCAGAGUUUGAACCCAAACUGAGUCAUGUGAAGCGUGAGCUGGACAGCAUCCAAGAGAGAAUACACCUGCUGGAGGUGCCAUCAGAUGACCCUCAGGCCAUACAGGAGCGACAUGAUGCAUGCAUGAGACACUAUAAAACAAUGAGUGAGCUGAAGUGUGAGGUGGAAUAUGUUCUCAAGACAGGACGGCAGAUUGUGGAAAGAAAACAGGUAGACUUCCCUGAGAAACUUAGCAAACAGCUGGACGCCAUAAAACAGCUCUAUAAUGACCUCGGGGCACAGGUAACUCAAAGCAAGGCAGACCUUGACAAAGCACUCAAACUUUCACGCAAGUUGAGAAAAGAGGUUGCCAGUCUGAAGGAGUUUAUUCAAGAAACUGAAGCAGACUUGCUUGGCCGGCAACUGGCCAAACAUGUUGUCAACAUUGAUGAUGAAAUUGCAUAUGUUAGGGGUGUAAUGGAGGAGAUGCAGAGGCGGGAGUCAGGCCUUGUGUCGAUCCCUGACCUUCAUCAGCAAUUGCAGGCACUUGGUGAGGAGGUGGAUGUCAGUGCCACCCGGCAGCAGCUUUACACGGUCAACCAAGACUGGACAGAACUAUCCCUGCGCCUAGCUCGCUACAAAGGUGUUCUACAGGAAGAACACAUGGCUCUAGAAGCCCAAUUUAUUGACUUCCAGUCCCAGACUCUGAAGGUGAAAGACUGGCUAACUCGAGCAGAGAAUAUCUUGACAUCACACAGCCGUUUGUCUGAACAGCAGCAUGUGCUGAGUCCUCAUUCUGAGACCAUAAAGCAGACCCUUUUGAUGCAGAUGAAUGAAUUACAUAGUCAGGUGGAUGAAAUUCGAGACCUUGCUAUAGGCCUAAUGACACGCAGCAGUCGAUUUGCUCCCAUGGUGGAGCCAGAAUUGACACAUCUCAAUCAGUGCUGGGAGGAGGUGGCUCAGAUGCUUAAGGCCAAGAGACCACAGCAACAGGAAAUAACCUUAUCUUCUGAUUACAAGGUGACAUCACCACAGCCUGUAAAAGUAGUAUCUUCCUCUGUAGAAUCUCCUCACACCCAGACUAUUGCUACCCAAAAUUUAUCUCACUUAGAAACAGCGUUUUCCUCCUCAGAGUCCCCAUACCCUAAGACAGUCUCUCCUUCUCCAGACUCAUCCCAUCCCAAGACAGUUGGGGCAUCACAGUUUACCAUAGCAUAUGAGAAUGUACAGCGCAAACUGUCCGUGUUUGAGAACACCAUCUCCACUAAAGGCAGAUUGCAAGGCAGCGAUUUCUCAGAUAACCUUGAGGCGAAUGCCCAGCUGAUUACAGAUGAAACCAGCACUAUGCAGGAGCUGGUCAAAGACAUUUUGGAACAAGGAAAAGAACUGUUGCAGGCUGCAGAAGACAACCGUGACCCAGCAACACAUGCAAGAGUCAGCAACCGACUCAUGGAACUAAAGUCUCGCUGGGCAGGUAUGCAGAUAGAUGCUGAGAUUAAGCAUCAGAGCCUAGUAGAUGUGGCACCAUUGUGGUAUCAGUUCUUACGAGAAGUGAAAGAAAUGCGACUGUGGCUGGAAUCAACAGAGAAACGCUUAAUGAAAAGGGAGAUGACAGAUAUAGAGGCAUUUGAAGAAGAAGUCAGGCGAAGAAAAGAUGACUGGCACUCACUGCAGCAGCGUGGCCUGGCCCUCUCGGAGCGUGGUGCCACACCUGUGACAGAAACAGAACUGCAGCACCUGAAGCAGCGAUGGCUGGACAUUAGCUCUCAGCUGGCACAGUACAAGUCAUCGCCUAUUGCUCACACACAACCUGUCCAGUCCAAUGUUGAUCGUCUGGUAGCAGACACAGAUGGCACAGUCACACGCACAACCUUCAACAUCGUCUCAACAAGCAUUUCUCAAACUACUUCAGCUCUCAAGUCUCCAGCUCAGUUCCUUCAGGAAAUUCUGCAGCUUCUGAAUAAAGUUCAAGAUUUGUUGAGUCAAAUGGCAUCAUUGGAAUUAGGCAGAGAGGACUUGUCACAGCUGGAAUCAUGGGAGACAAGGCUGAAGGCAGCAGAGGGCGAAAUAGCUAAUUUACUGCCCCUGGUACAAGGACUAGAAAAUCAGAAAGAGGAAAUGAUUCAUCAGAGCUCACCAGAGGAGGCUGUUCAGGUUGGCAACUUGAUGUCGCAGCUGUGCUCACAAUGGCAAGAACUAAACAGGCAUUACAAAGAUAGAAGACGAUACUGGAACAAGGUUUCUGACCAGUGGCGCUCCCUGCAAGCAGAUGUGAAGGAACUGAAUCUCUGGCUGGACCAAGCUGAAGCCAAACUAAAAACUGACAAAGGCAGUAGUGACCUCAAGAGUCAGGAGGCUAUGUUGGCAAAUGUGGAAGCAGGCUUGCGUGUACACCAGAGCACCUACAACAACAUCAAUACUGUUGGCAAGGACCUCCAGCAUGUAGCAGGUGCUACCACACAGCCAUUAUAUCACAGCCUACAGGAUAUCAACCACCGGUGGAAGGCCUUGUGGUCAGAGGUUAUAGAGAGACAGAAGUGCAUUAAAAGAAGUGAAGAAGGAAGCGUCAAGACAAGUGAUUUUACUGAUGACAUGGAUGAGUUAUUUUUCUGGAUUGAUGAAACUGAAAACAUUCUCACCUCUAAGCUAACCCUUGACACACAGUACCUAGCAGACCUGCUGGAAAAAGUCAAGGAUCGUGAAGAUGACAUUGCCGCCCAUGAGGAGAACCUGAAGGUCAUCAACAACAACGGUGCUAAAAUAUCACAGAAGCAGUCUCUGUCAGAAGAAGAUCAAGAGAAUAUUCAGCGUGAUCUCAAUAACCUAAACGACCGAUGGAAAAAGGUGUCAGGGGAAAUAUCUCAGUAUGCUGCAAAGGUAAAGCAGCGAUUGCAGCAGUUAGAAGGCUUGCUGGCUGAGGUAGCAGAGGUUGAAUCAUGGCUGGUGACUACAAAAGAGCUUUUGGAAACCCAGGCAGCACUUCUCUCCUCAGCCUCUUCCUCAGAGGAGAAGAAUUCUGUUGUUGACUCAAAGACCACCCAGUUAGCUGUCCAAACACACCAGGUCAAGAUCACAAGGAUCAAUGCAACUUUUCAGCAGCUGUGCCUGAAUGAAGGGCAAGCAGUGAAUGUUCCAGCUGAACUCAUAGAGCGUAUUGAGCGCAUCAACUGUAACUGGAAUGAUGUAUGUUGCCUGGCAGAUCGUCUCCAACAUAAUGAAAUACGUGAUGUAAUGACUCCAGUAAGAACAGGAUUACAACAUCAGCCUGCUCCACCAUUGCUGGCACCAGUUCUUCCAGCAACUACCAUUUCUGAGUUAAAAUCAUCAUGGCCAGAGUUCAGUAGAUCUGUUCAAGAGCUGAAGGAAUGGCUAAAUUUACUCGAUGACCUUCUGUCUACACGUGUCAGUGUGUGUGAUGUGAGAGAGGUGGAACAGGCCUUGACCCAUCAGAAGUCAUUACUUCAAGACAUGGAGAGCCGACAGACCCAGCUGGAGGAGUUACUGACCACAGCUGACUGUAUGCAACCCUUGGCAGGAUCUCAUAUUGAGAAACAGCAUGUCUUGGAGCAAUUGGGGUCAAUGCAACUUCGCUGGAAAGCAGCACUAAAUCAGGCCUAUGGUCGCAAAACACAGUUGGAGGACAUGUUGGUGGACUGUAAUCAGUUUCACCACUUACAGGCUGAGCUAGAUGGCUGGCUGGCUAAGGUGGAACAAGAACUGGAUGCUACCCUUGGCCAACCACAGUCACUACAACAUGCUGACACACUACUGACACAGCAUGAGUUGCUGCAGGAAAACAUCAAUGCUCGAAAGUUCACUGUGGACAACCUAAAGCAGAUGGCUGAAAGAAUGAUUAACAAGUACAGCAAGGAUGACUGUGCUAAUACUCACAAUCAGCUGCAACAGUUGAGCAACCGGUGGUCCCAAUUACUGAAUAGAUUGGCUAGCAGAUGGAAAUCAUUGCAGAGUGACCGCAGUUCCUUGCAAGAGUUCCAAGCAGCAGUGGAUGAUUUUCUUGGACGUCUUGUUGCCAUUGAAACUAGUCUUCAACGACUAGCUGAGGAGACAGAGAAAACAGAUGUCGUGGAGAAGCGAGAGCUGGCCCAAGAGUACCUGGAGCAGUUCAGGGACUUACAAGCAGAAGUAGAUGCACAGCAGAGCAUGUAUGAUUCUCUUGCAUCAACUGGAAGUCAGUUAUUCAGAAUGAUGGGUGUAUCAGAAACCCAGGUGCUGCAAGAUCGACUUGAAGAGAUGAACCAGCGCUGGCUCUCUCUUCUGACCAAAUCAAUGGACAUCAGGGGGCGCUUGGAAUCUAGCACAGAACAGUGGCAGCACUUGUUACGCACAUUGCAGGGUCUGUUGUCUUGGGCCAAUCAGAAACAGGUGGAGCUGCAACAGCAGCAGCCUGUUGGUGGUGACCUAGCCAGCAUCACACGUCAAAGCCAUGACAGUAGGCAUUUACAAGGCCAGGUGAACUUAAAGCAACCCAUGGUCGAGCAGUGCUUGCUGGCUGGUCGUUCCUACCUGAAAGAGGAAGGCUUUGAUCGCCGCCUGUCCACAGACAGUGGUGACAUCAGCAAUCUAGAUGAGGGGAUAAGUGCAAAUGCCACCUCAGAAAAAGAUACUCAAUAUCUUAUGACCAAAAUUGGCAAGUAUGUCCGACUUCUACAUAGGAAGUGGAGUGAGUUGACUUCUGCCUGUCAGCUGUGGCAGAAUAAGCUGGAUGAGAUUCUUGAAAAAAUGACACUGUUUCAUGAAGCCAUGGAAGAUCUUGAACAACAUCUGACUGAAGCUGAAAGAGAAAAAGGAGCUUGGCAGGGAGUGGGUGAUAUCCUUAUCAAGGAACUGCCAGCAGAGAUUGAAGCCACCAAGAACUUUCAGCAGAAGUAUGCCCCACUUCAAGGAGAAAUUGACAGUGUCAAUGACCAGGCCAAUGACUUGCAAUCUGCUGAUGUUAUUCUUUCCCAUGUUAAUGUUCGUCGCCUGGAAGAUUUCAACACUCGGUGGAAAGCUCUACAGAUUUCAAUUGAAGAUCGCCUCAAACAGCUCCAAGAUGCUCUCCGUGCCUUUGGUCCCCAUUCGCAACACUUUCUUGCAGCCUCUGUGGCAAGUCCUUGGGAGAGAGCGGUGGCUGGCAACAAGGUGCCUUACUUCAUCAAUCAUGUAACAGAAAAGACGCAGUGGGACCAUCCUGUCUUUGCCGUGCUGUUUGAUGAACUGAGUGCCCUGAAUGACAUCAGAUUUGCAGCAUACAGAACUGGCAUGAAACUCCGAAUGCUGCAAAAGAAGCUUGGAUUACACCUUGUGGAUAUGACAGUAGCUAGUGAGGCCUUUGAACGACAUGGAUUACGUGGUCAGAAUGACAAGUUGAUUGAGGUCACAGAAAUGAUAGAGUGCCUGUCUUCCAUGUAUGAGCAGAUCGCUGCGCAACGCAGCACGUCUAGUGUGCCAGUUGAUGUGCCUCUGUGUGUUGACCUUGUGCUCAACUGGAUCCUCAAUGUCUAUGACACUGUGCGCAGUGGGAAGGUACGUGUGCUGUCUUUCAAGGUUGGUGUGAUUCUCUUAUGUUCUGGGCAGCUCGAAGACAAAUACAGAUUUAUGUUUCGACUGAUUGCUGACACAAAUGGCUUCGCUGACCAACGGAAAUUAGGACUGCUUCUCCAUGACUGCAUCCAGAUACCUUUGCAACUUGGUGAAGUUGCUGCAUUUGGAGGAAGCAACAUUGAACCAAGUGUACGAAGCUGCUUCGAGAAGGCCAAAGGUCGACCAGAGAUUCAAGUAGGCCACUUUCUAGACUGGCUUUCACUGGAGCCCCAGUCUCUGGUGUGGUUGCCAGUGUUACAUCGUUUAGCUGCUGCUGAAACUGCCAAGCAUCAGGCAAAAUGCAACGUUUGCAAAGAUUUCCCUAUUAUUGGCUUCAGGUAUCGGUGUCUGAAAUGCUUCAAUUUUGACAUGUGUCAGAAUUGUUUUUUCUCUGGUCGACUUGUCAAGGGACAUAAACUCAGCCAUCCCAUGCAAGAAUACUGCACAACAACCACAUCUGGUGAAGAUGUGAGGGACUUUUCCAAAGUUUUCAAGAAUAAAUUUAAGUCCAAACGACAUUUUAAAAAGCAUCCUCGACUGGGUUAUCUCCCAGUACAGACUGUACUGGAAGGUGACAGUCUUGAAAGCCCAGCUCCAUCCCCUCAGCACAGCAUCCUGAUGUCCCAAGAUAUGCACUCACGCCUGGAACUGUAUGCUUCAAGGUUAGCAGAAGUGGAACAGAGGCAAAACUGUUCUUCUCCAGACUCGGAGGAUGAGCACCAUUUGAUUGCACAGUACUGUUCAAGUCUAAAUGGGGAUCCAUCAGCCCAGGCUCUGAAGAGCCCUAUGCAGAUUAUGUUGGCUGUUGAUGCUGAGCAACAACAGGAGCUGGAGGCCACCAUCAAAGAACUUGAACAAGAGAAUAGAACACUACAGGAAGAGUACAAUCGGCUACGGGAAGCUCGUGAAUCAAGGGAGAGCAGCACUCUGUCAGAAGAUGGCGGUAACAUCAGUGGUAACAUUCGUGAUGAGGAAAUGCUGGCGGAGGCCAAAUUGUUACGGCAGCAUAAAGGAAGACUGGAAGCACGCAUGCGAAUUUUGGAGGACCACAAUCACCAGUUGGAAGCUCAACUAGCCAGACUUCGACAGCUGCUGGACCAGGUAUAGUAGGCACUGAGGAGACCAGCAUUACAGCAGGUGACAAUACUGCCUCCAGCAUAACUACAGACAAGUCAAAGGGAAAUGUAGGGGAGCUCUUCCAUAUAGCAGGAGAAGUGGGACAGGCUGUGGGCUCAUUGGUUACAGUCAUG
rnacentral:misc_RNA from 1 species